GACGAACGCUGGCGGCGUGCUUAACACAUGCAAGUCGAACGGUGAAGCGCCUUCCUUUUUGGUGGGUGUGGAUGAGUGGCGAACGGGUGAGUAACACGUGAGUAACCUGCCCCCUUCUUCUGGAUAACCGCAUGAAAGUGUGGCUAAUACGGGCUAUUCUGGGUCUGUCGCAUGAUGGGUCUGGGAAAGAUAUUGUUUCGGAGGGGGAUGGGCUCGCGGCCUAUCAGCUUGUUGGUGGGGUGAGGGCCUACCAAGGCGGUGACGGGUAGCCGGCCUGAGAGGGUGGGCGGUCACACUGGGACUGAGACACGGCCCAGACUCCUACGGGAGGCAGCAGUGGGGAAUAUUGCACGAUGGGCGCAAGGCUGAUGCAGCGACGCCGCGUGAGAGAUGGAGGCCUUCGGGUUGUGAACCUCUUUCGCCAGUGAAGCAGGCCUGCCUCGUUUGUGAGUGGGUUGACGGUAGCUGGAUAAGAAGCGCCGGCUAACUACGUG
rnacentral:rRNA from 1 species